AUUGUUUUGUGGUUCGUAAGCAUGAUGAUUGAGUUUUCACAUCAUUAUGUGAGACAUGCCUUCCUCAAACCUUAUUAUACUGUCCUGCAUACUAUUUGACU
ensembl:snoRNA